rnacentral:lncRNA from 1 species
CCAGGCGCGGACGAUCAUCUCGGGCGCGUGCGGAUCGUCUGGCACUGGCCGCGAUGACGACCGUGGCGCGCGGCCCUUGGCGGUACUGUUGGCGGCACUGUUGGGGGUCGCAUUGGCGGCCUCGGGCGUGCGCGUCGACAUUGAUGCGGCGCUCACGUGCCCUUUUUUCUUACGAAAAAAAAAAGAUUUUGUGGACGAAAAGCGAGUUGACGAGCGAUACUGCGGCCGGAUCCGAGACUGAUGACCGAGAGGGCAGGGAGAAGAGGCCACACGAUCCAAAGACGACUGCCGGGGCACGAGGUCGAACUUUGGCUGCCCAUUUUCUUUUUCGGCCAUCGCCCCAAAGCCCGACACCACACGAAAAAAAAAAGGUUUAUCGGGGAGCGCCAGUGCCGCAUGCGAGCGUGCGUUUGGACCGUGCGAACGCGCCGCGCCUUUUAGUUUGCUGGGUCGGCCCCGGCAGCGUCGCCAUGACCCUUUGGCGUAGCCCGCCAAUGCUCGUUGGCCAACGAGCCGCGGUCCACAAGGGCGGCGGGCCGCUGCGAGCAACACGGCAAAUGGGAGAGCACAGGUCGCCCGACCGGUUUUACGCGUGGAAACACAUCACACCCAUACACACACACCAACACAUGCAGGCAGAGGACCCUAGUCGCCGUCGCGCACAUGCGGCGCCGCGCAUACCUGUAUAUUUUCAAAAAAAUGCAAAAGAGACCGCCCCUCCCUCCC